UACGAAGGGGGCUAGCGUUGUUCGGAAUUACUGGGCGUAAAGCGCACGUAGGCGGACAUUUAAGUCAGGGGUGAAAUCCCAGAGCUCAACUCUGGAACUGCCUUUGAUACUGGGUGUCUUGAGUAUGGAAGAGGUGAGUGGAAUUCCGAGUGUAGAGGUGAAAUUCGUAGAUAUUCGGAGGAACACCAGUGGCGAAGGCGGCUCACUGGUCCAUUACUGACGCUGAGGUGCGAAAGCAUGGGGAGCGAACAGG
rnacentral:rRNA from 1 species